rnacentral:snoRNA from 1 species
AAUCCAUGGUGAUGACACCUUCUCAAUAGAUCUUUGUAUCUCUCUCAUGCAUCAUAAAGUGUUUCUAAAUCCAUCUGUACAAAAAAAGAGAUAUCAUUUUGUAAUU